UCUUGGCUAGCAGUCAUAGGUGUCUC
rnacentral:sRNA from 1 species